CUUCAUUAUUUGCUAUCAAAUGAACUGGUUAAAGCUUCUCCAGCCGUCAUCUCAGCCGCUUUACGAUACAGACAGUGUUCUGAAACAGUCAAUCCGUCUACAACAGACAAAGCCUUUGAGAUGAAAUCAAUCAAGUUGUUUCUCAUUUUUGCUCUCUGCAUCUCUGUUGGAUAUGGCCUCAUAUGUUACCAAUGUUUCUCUUCCGGGGGUUGGAGUGAAUGUAAGAAAACACAGAGAGUGCAGAAAUGUCGACCCUAUCAGGAUUCGUGUGCCAAAGUUCAUGCGAAGAUAAAGUCGGAUAGAUAUGCAAAAGCUUGUGCUUCCAGUAGGCAAUGCAAUGGCACAACUUCCUUCUGCCACAAAAUGAGAUUCACCGAGUGCCAGAUCACCUGCUGCACCACUAAUUUAUGCAAUUGAGCCCAAGAACCAAUGAUUGGCGUGUCUUCGUUUAGUCUUCGAAAGCUGUUGAUGAAUGAACACUAAAUAAAAUGGAUUUUAAGCGCGACCCUUAAAGAAGCAACUAAUUACACCAAAUGAGUGUUUUGUUUUUUAUUCUUUCUUCGCUCGCACUGUUCAGACAUUGUAGAGGUUAAAAUCGAGGCGCGAUGUGGGAUGCGAAAAAUUUUAAAGACGAGACUAAGAUAUACUCAGUUUUAGAGGCGGAAUAGGGGAGAGGGCAGGUACACGCGGAAUCAUGAUUUAGCUCAAGUUACGACUCACACAACCUCGGAAACAUUAGAAGGUAUUCAUUUGCUUUAGAAACGGGCUUAAUUAAUGCUCCCUUGUAAAUUGGGGUUAACAGACCCAAAUGUCUCCACAGUAUGCCCAGUUUUCUCUCCUUUAUUAUAAUUUUGCUCUCACGAGGACGUCUGCGUGAACAUCCCUUUCUGUAGGAUAUUAUCGGCGGUUCUUGGAAUAUCUCUCUUAGCAAUGGUUUUCUCCCUAAUAAGAGUACAUCAUUAUUAUUGUAAACGCUGUAACUUUUCCAUCAGUUGGCGAUAAACUGGAGCAAUUUGAGUUUGACCAGGCAGAAUCGGGAUGAAAUGUUCAUUGCAGCGGGAUGGUGGGAUGUAAUGAAAAAUGACGGCGGAAUGCAGGAUUGGAAAAGUUUAUUUUGGACCCUCAUUGUAACUUUGAGAAAACUAUUAGGCAGCAAAAUUUGGUUUAACGAGUGUUACUAUUCAUUAAUUUCUUAAAGCGCGUUGAGUUUUCAAAAAUUAUUAAGAUUUUUUGACAAUAAACUAUCUGCUAACCUGGCACUCUAUUUGUCGUCUUGAUAUUUCACGCGAGGGGUUAACAAAGAGAAAGAAAGGUUAAAGAAAGAUGUUUUUUUGUUUUGUCACGAGCGCGGGAUAAAGGAAAAAAUUUCCCAUGAGGAAUCGAACCUCAGACCUUCGGAUCCCGAGCCCCGAUGCUCUACCACUGAGCCACAGAGACUCCACGGUGCGCGAAGUCUAUUACGAAGUUCAUAUGACGCGCGUCCUGCUUACUGCUUGGAUCAGCAAUGUCGGUAGCGUAAUGUCUGUAGAUAGAAAUAAGAGAAACUGUAAGUUUUGAGCUAGGGAAAGAAAUAAAGGUUAUGUUAAAAAGA